rnacentral:tRNA from 1 species
GCCUUCGUGGUGUAACUGGAAGCACGCUCGACAAGUAUUCGGAAGGUCCGGAGUUCGAAUCCCGGCGAGGGCA